AAUGCGCGAAAGCGUGACGCAGCAACACCGCGUGAGGGAAGACGGCCUUAGGGUUGUAAACCUCUUUCAGAUGGGACGAAGGUUGUCCGGUGAAUAGCCGAGAUGAUUGACGGUACCGUCAGAAGAAGCUCCGGCUAACUACGUGCCAGCAGCCGCGGUAAUACGUAGGGAGCGAGCGUUGUCCGGAAUCAUUGGGCGUAAAGAGCACGUAGGUGGAUCAAUUAGUCUGCUGUGAAAGUCGAAGGCUCAACCUUCGAAAGCCGGUGGAUACUGUUGAUCUAGAGUACGGAAGAGGCGAGUGGAAUUCCUGGUGUAGCGGUGGAAUGCGCAGAUAUCAGGAGGAACACCAAUAGCGAAGGCAGCUCGCUGGGACGUAACUGACACUGAGGUGCGAAAGCGUGGGGAGCAAA
rnacentral:rRNA from 1 species